CAGUCUCACAGACAAGUUCACAAGGGCCAAAACUGGAGGACGACUGAUCAUUGAUGAGGCCACGAGGGCCAGGAAGGAAGGUCCUUACUUUUUACCAUGGAAGAAGAUGCUGCCGUCAGUUGCAUACGUUCAAGUUGGCAGGAGCCGGGAAGCCGCCGUGGUGCCGAAGAUCAAUAACUAUUGAAAUGAUUGGAUGAGACAGAGCAGCGGCGGCAUCUUCAGAAUCAAAUUCCGCUACUCAAUAUGCUGCAGGUGACUCUCUCUCUGGCACCGAACCUGAAACCUACUCCUGCUGAUUACCAAUGUUCGUACCUAUAAUUGGACCAUCGAAGGUUGCAGCUACGCCUCCCAUGGCGCCAAAGGAAUGUCAAACCAGAAACGUAUUAGACUUUAUUUAGAAUACAUGAACCUUUUUGGGAUUGUGUUUAACAUUUUCCCUCAAACUAGACGAUGGAUCUAAAAAUCCAAGUUUGAUGCAGAAUUCCUCUACAGCAAAAUUAAGAUACACAGAGGCUGGCCAUCCACAGAGAUGAGGCAUUUGCUUACUAUUA